AGCUUUGUGCAGUGGCAGUAUCGUAGCCAAUGAGGUUUAUCCGAGGCGCGAUUAUUGCUAAGUUCUCCCUGGACACCAAGCAGCAUUGUGACCUGUCAGACUGAGAACCUCUGUCAACUCUGAUCACUUGAAACUUCGAACAAGAG